CUACGGGGCGCAGAAGUGGGGAAUAUUGCACAAUGGAGGAAACUCUGAUGCAGCAACGCCGCGUGGAGGAUGACACUUUUCGGAGCGUAAACUCCUUUUAUAUAGGAAGAAGAUGACGGUACUAUAUGAAUAAGCGCCGGCUAACUCCGUGCCAGCAGCCGCGGUAAUACGGAGGGCACAAGCGUUACUCGGAAUCACUGGGCGUAAAGAGCGUGUAGGCGGAUUAAAAAGUCAGAAGUGAAAUCCUAUAGCUUAACUAUAGAACUGCUUCUGAAACUCUUAAUCUAGAAUAUGGGAGAGGUAGAUGGAAUUUCUGGUGUAGGGGUAAAAUCCGUAGAGAUCAGAAGGAAUACCGAUUGCGAAGGCGAUCUACUAGAACAUUAUUGACGCUGAGACGCGAAAGCGUGGGGAGCAAACAGGAUUAGAUACCCUUGUAGUC
rnacentral:rRNA from 1 species